rnacentral:rRNA from 1 species
GACGAACGCUGGCGGCGUGCCUAACACAUGCAAGUCGAACGAAGCAUUUAAGUGAAUCCCUUCGGGGUGAAGCUUUUAUGACUUAGUGGCGGACGGGUGAGUAACGCGUGAGUAACCUGCCUUUCAGAGGGGGAUAACAGUUGGAAACGACUGCUAAUACCGCAUAACGUACAUUUAAGGCAUCUUAGAUGUACCAAAGCUGAGGCGCUGAAAGAUGGACUCGCGUCUGAUUAGAUAGUUGGUGGGGUAACGGCCUACCAAGUCGACGAUCAGUAGCCGGACUGAGAGGUUGAUCGGCCACAUUGGGACUGAGACACGGCCCAG